GACGAACGCUGGCGGCGUGCUUAACACAUGCAAGUCGAACGAAGUGGCGAACGGGUGAGUAACGCGUAAUCAACCUGCCCUUCAGAGGGGGACAACAGUUGGAAACGACUACUACUACCGCAUAAGGAAGGAGGGGAUUGCGUCUGAUGAGCUAGUUGGAGGGGUAACGGCCCACCAAGGCGAGGAUCAGUAGCCGGACUGAGAGGAUGAACGGCCACAUUGGGACUGAGACACGGCCCAGACUCCUACGGGAGGCAGCAGUGGGGAAUCUUCCGAAAUGGACGAAAGUCUGACGGAGCAACGCCGCGUGAGUGAUUACGGCCUUCGGGUUGUAAAGCUCUGUUAAUCGGGACGCGGUACCGGAAUAGAAAGCCACGGCUAACUACGUGCCAGCCGCCGCGGUAAUUC
rnacentral:rRNA from 1 species